rnacentral:lncRNA from 1 species
GACUGGUAAAGGCAGGAACGCAAGGUACAAACCACAAGCCAUGCUCCUCUCUCGCUUUCCUUCCGUUCGCUUACUUCUUCUUACUGGAGCAAUUAAUAAAUUCAAGUUACAGCGACCAAUACAAGCCGCUUUAAGAAAAUCGGUCGUGAUUUCACUGUUUGCCUCGAGAGGAACAUGACAUGAGCACUUCGAUCCUCGGGUGAAUCUUGACUUCGAUCGCAUCGAUCAAGUGUUUAUAAUACAGGAAAAAGGGUUAGUUUGUUCGAGAUGGGGAGUGGAGCAUCUCCAUGAAGAACAGGGAAGAGCGAGGCCCCCGGCCCCCCUCAUCUCGUCUCCUUGGUUAGUUGGUUAGAUUUCCUCGGAUUGCCCGUUUCGAUUAAGUCAUGCCUGGAAAGCAUCACCCUCGGUUUAGUGGCGGGGGAAGAAUCCGAGGCGAGCGAUUUCUUCUGUACGUAGGUUAAACGUCGGAUCGGAUUUGGGAUCGGGGUGUGGAUCGGUAAUGCAGGGGGAAUCUGAGAUUUCCCUCUUCUUUCCUGCCCCCGCUCCCUUUCUCAGCCCCGGAUUAUUGAUUCAGGAGCAGCUGAUUCGGAUCCUUUGUGCUUUGAUCAGCCUGGAGUGGAAAAGGAAAAUGCCUGUACUUGGCUGUUUAACCACCGUACUUCUUUAAUCCCCUUUUCAUUGUCUAUUAGUUCCGUCCUCAACUUCCUGUUUCAAAUUUCAAAUCUUGGCGUUGCAUAGCUGAGUCAAGUAUUUUUGUUUUGUUCUGUUUAUGAGGUAGGGAAUUCCCUGAGGAGGUUAGAAAUAAAUGUNN